AUUGAACGCUGGCGGCAUGCCUUACACAUGCAAGUCGAACGGCAGCACGGGAGCUUGCUCCUGGUGGCGAGUGGCGAACGGGUGAGUAAUACAUCGGAACGUACCCAGGAGUGGGGGAUAACGUAGCGAAAGUUACGCUAAUACCGCAUAUUCUGUGAGCAGGAAAGCGGGGGAUCGCAAGACCUCGCGCUCUUGGAGCGGCCGAUGUCGGAUUAGCUAGUUGGUGAGGUAAAAGCUCACCAAGGCGACGAUCCGUAGCAGGUCUGAGAGGAUGGUCUGCCACACGGGGACUGAGACACGGCCCAGACUCCUACGGGAGGCAGCAGUGGGGAAUUUUGGACAAGGGGGGCAACCCUGAUCCAGCCAUGCCGCGUGAGUGAAGAAGGCCUUCGGGUUGUAAAGCUCUUUCGGCGGGGAAGAAAUGGCAACGGCUAAUAUCCGUUGUUGAUGACGGUACCCGCAUAAGAAGCACCGGCUAACUACGUGCCAGCCGCCGCGGUAA
rnacentral:rRNA from 1 species